GAUGAACGCUGGCGGCGUGCCUAAUACAUGCAAGUCGAGCGAACAGACGAGGAGCUUGCUCCUCUGACGUUAGCGGCGGACGGGUGAGUAACACGUGGAUAACCUACCUAUAAGACUGGGAUAACUUCGGGAAACCGGAGCUAAUACCGGAUAAUAUAUUGAACCGCAUGGUUCAAUAGUGAAAGACGGUUUUGCUGUCACUUAUAGAUGGAUCCGCGCCGCAUUAGCUAGUUGGUAAGGUAACGGCUUACCAAGGCAACGAUGCGUAGCCGACCUGAGAGGGUGAUCGGCCACACUGGAACUGAGACACGGUCCAGACUCCUACGGGAGGCAGCAGUAGGGAAUCUUCCGCAAUGGGCGAAAGCUUGACGGAGCAACGCCGCGUGAGUGAUGAAGGUCUUCGGAUCGUAAAACUCUGUUAUUAGGGAAGAACAAAUGUGUAAGUAACUAUGCACGUCUUGACGAUACCUAAUCAGAAAGCCACGGCUAACUACGUG
rnacentral:rRNA from 1 species